rfam:Danio rerio chromosome 20, GRCz11 reference primary assembly.
CUUGUCCUCAUUUGUAACUCGCUUUGGAUAAAAGCGUCUGCUAAAUGACUAAAU